rnacentral:lncRNA from 1 species
AGGUGUGACAGGCCCGUCACAGCCAGCACUGCAGCCUCUGCUAUCCCACACAGCGAUAUAUAGAUUUGUUCAUAGUUUUGGGUUUUUUUUUUUUUAAUAGUCUGGCCCGCCAGCUAUCUGAGCGACAGUGAAUUAACCUUCUGUGUAAAUUCUUUGAGCACCCCUGCUCUAGGGAAAUCUGUCCUAUAGAGAAGGAUUGGGGGUGUGAUUAAACACUAAAGACCUCUUUCCCACUGAAGACACUUCUAGGUCUCUCCUGAAAGAGGAGUGAUUCUGAACUACAAUGACAAAAUCAAACUGCUUUGCCUACCACUUUUAUCAAUAUGGCUGCAUGAGACCACUUUGCAAUAACAGUUCUUUCUCCCUUCUCAAGAAGUCCCUGGGCAGCCAUUCAAUGAACUGAGAAGGGAGAAAAGGGAGACUGAGAGGAGCAGAGCUUUCUGAUACUGCAACCAGCUAUCAUGGCUGAAUCUCCCACACCUGAGCAGUGGUAAUCUUUUCGAGACACCAGAGUGCAGAGAUUUUCUUCAAUGUAUUAUUGCUUUAUCUACUUCAUUUGCACUCCCAUUGUUUUGUCUGUAUCAUUUGCACUCACUGCAGAUCAUGUUAAAUAAAAGAGGAAAUGAAUCUUAUU